rnacentral:rRNA from 1 species
CACAGGAAGUUGACGGGGGCCCGCACAAGCGGAGGAGCAUGUGGUUUAAUUCGAUGAUACGCGAGGAACCUUACCUGGGCUCGAACGUAAGAUGACUGUAGGUGAAAGCUUACAUCUCUUCGGAGCAUUUUACGAGGUGCUGCAUGGUUGUCGUCAGCUCGUGCCGUGAGGUGUCGGGUUAAGUCCCAUAACGAGCGCAACCCCUACCUUUAGUUGCCAUCAGGUAAUGCUGGGGACUCUAAAGGAACUGCCUACGCAAGUAGUGAGGAAGGCGGGGAUGACGUCAAAUCAGCACGGCCCUUACGUCCAGGGCUACACACGUGCUACAAUGGCCGAUACAGAGGGCAGCUACCUGGUGACAGGAUGCAAAUCUCCAAAGUCGGUCUCAGUUCGGAUCGGAGUCUGCAAUCCGACUCCGUGAAGUUGGAUUCGCUAGUAAUCGCGCAUCAGCCAUGGCGCGGUGAAUACGUUCCCGGGCCUU